rnacentral:tRNA from 2 species
GCCAGUGUGGUGGAAUUGGUAGACACGCUAGAUUCAAAAUCUGGUUCCUUCUGGGAGUGGCGGUUCGAGUCCGCCCACUGGUACCA